rnacentral:misc_RNA from 1 species
CCAAUUUUUAGCGGGCCUUGGCUUUGUCCCAUGGUCUCGCGAAACUCUCUGUAUUUAAAACCCGCUCAUAAAUUAAAACGUAACUUUUGUUAUUAAAUAUAAUAAUAAAGA